rnacentral:siRNA from 1 species
UAUGCGUCCUAUCUUCCUCUUU